GACGAACGCUGGCGGCGUGCUUAACACAUGCAAGUCGAACGGAAAGGCCCUGCUUUUGUGGGGUGCUCGAGUGGCGAACGGGUGAGUAACACGUGAGUAACCUGCCCUUGACUUUGGGAUAACUUCAGGAAACUGGGGCUAAUACCGGAUAGGAGCUCCUGCUGCAUGGUGGGGGUUGGAAAGUUUCGGCGGUUGGGGAUGGACUCGCGGCUUAUCAGCUUGUUGGUGGGGUAGUGGCUUACCAAGGCUUUGACGGGUAGCCGGCCUGAGAGGGUGACCGGCAAAAUGGGGAAGGAGAUAGGGCCAAGACUCCGAGGGGAGGAAGAGGGGGGAAAUAUGGAAAAAGGGGGGGAAGCCGGAGGCAGAAACGCCGGGUGGGGGAGGACGGCCUGCGGGUUGAAAACCGCUUUCGCCGGGGAAGAGGGGGGAGGGAGGGUAAGGGAUAAAAAAGGACCGGCAAACUAGGUG
rnacentral:rRNA from 1 species